UUAUUGGGUCUAAAGCAUCCGUAGGCGGUUCUGCAAAUACCCUGUGAAAUCGUCCCGCUCAACGGGGCGGCGUGCAGGGUAGACUACAGGACUAGGGACCAGGUGAGGUGGACGGUAUUCCGUGGGGAGCGGUAAAAUGUGAUAAUCCUCGGAGGACCACCAAUGGCGAAGGCAGUUCACCAAAAUGGAUCCGACGGUGAGGGAUGAAAGCUAGGGGAGCGAUCCGGAUUAGAUACCCGAGUAGUCCUAGCUGUAAACUCUGCGUGCCAGAUGUUGCGUAAUCUCCGAGAUUGCGCAGUGUCGUAACGAAGGUGUUAAGCACGCCACCUGGGAAGUACGGUCGCAAGGCUGAAACUUAAAGGAAUUGGCGGGGAGACACCACAACGGGUGCGGCGUGCGGUUUAAUCGUAUUCAACACCGAGAAUCUCACCGGGGGCGACGGCACAAUGACGCUCAGUCUGAAGGGCUUAGCUGAGGAGCCGAGAGGUGGCGCAUGGCCGCCGUCAGCUCGUGCCGUGAGGUGUCCUGUUAAGUCAGGCAACGAGCGAGACCUGUAUCC
rnacentral:rRNA from 1 species